rnacentral:rRNA from 1 species
UACGGAGUGUGCAAGCGUUACUCGGAAUCACUGGGCAUAAAGGGCGUGUAGGCGGGCUUUCAAGUCGGUUGUGAAAUCCCUCAGCUCAACUGAGGAACUGCAUCCGAUACUGUUUGUCUUGAGGACGAGAGGGGAGAGUGGAAUUCCUGGUGGAGCGGUGAAAUGCGCAGAGAUCAGGAGGAACACCCGUAGCGAAGGCGGCACUCUGGGCCGAUACUGACACUGAGGAGCGAAAGCGUGGGGAGCGAACAGG